CUUCCCAUUUAUUUGUUAUCAUAGUCUUUUCAAUGAUCUGAGCAGUUAUACGCAUGGAAUAAAAUAACAUUGGGCCAUUGUAAAUUGACAUUGUAAAUUGAAAUGGAAUAAUCGUUUCAUCUCUUCUGCAUGCAUGGUGUAGAUAUUG